GAGAAUGUCCUUUCAUCUGCUAUUGGAAUGCAGGUUGUAUAGGCACCUCCUCAUUGUAACUUUCUCUGUUUGAGGUCCCACCUCCUCAUUGUCCUUAUGGUUCAUGAAGACAUCUCCCAUGUAUAGCUUGAAUUGAUUCCCAUGAUUCAGGAAAUACUUACUCAAUGGAUUAUUCUCCACUUGGUGGGAACAACACCAUCUGAGUCACCACUUUUGGAGGAUUUUAGCUCUCGCCUUUCGUCAUUGCACAUUGGUAACUGCAUGUUAUGCUUCUUGUACAGCUGGAGCAUUUUUUUCUGAGUUAUCAGUUUCCUCAUUGCUCCAUAACUUAAAUCACCUAAUAGACAAUUUGAAAUUACUAGAGCCUGUUGGCUGAGACAAUUUCUAUGCAAGUACCUAUUAGCCUUGUUA